GAUGAACGCUGGCGGCGUGCCUAAUACAUGCAAGUCGAGCGAAUGGAUUAAGAGCUUGCUCUUAUGAAGUUAGCGGCGGACGGGUGAGUAGCACGUGGGUAACCUGCCCAUAAGACUGGGAUAACUCCGGGAAACCGGGGCUAAUACCGGAUAACAUUUUGAACCGCAUGGUUCGAAAUUGAAAGGCGGCUUCGGCUGUCACUUAUGGAUGGACCCGCGUCGCAUUAGCUAGUUGGUGAGGUAACGGCUCACCAAGGCAACGAUGCGUAGCCGACCUGGGAGGGUGAUCGGCCACACUGGGACUGAGACACGGCCCAGACUCCUACGGGAGGUAGCAGUAGGGAAUCUUCCGCAAUGGACGAAAGUCUGACGGAGCAACGCCGCGUGAGUGAUGAAGGCUUUCGGGUCGUAAAACUCUGUUGUUAGGGAAGAACAAGUGCUAGUUGAAUAAGCUGGCACCUUGACGGUGCCUAACCAGAAAGCCACGGCUAACUACGUGCCAGCAGCCGCCGUAA
rnacentral:rRNA from 1 species